GACGAACGCUGGCGGCGUGCCCAAUACAUGCAAGUUGAGCGCUGAAGGUUGGUACUUGUACCAACUGGAUGAGCAGCGAACGGGUGAGUAACGCGUGGGGAAUCUGCCUUUGAGCGGGGGACAACAUUUGGAAACGAAUGCUAAUACCGCAUAAAAACUUUAAACACAAGUUUUAAGUUUGAAAGAUGCAAUUGCAUCACCCAAAGAUGAUCCCGCGUUGUAUUAGCUAGUUGGUGAGGUAAAGGCCCACCAAGGCGAUGAUACAUAGCCGACCUGAGAAGGUGAUCGGCCAACUUGGGACUGGGACAAGGCCCAAACUCCUUCGGGAGGCAGCAGGAGGGAAUCUUCGGCAAUGGACGGAAGUCUGACCGGGCAACGCCGCGUGAGUGAAGAAGGUUUUCGGAUCGUAAAACUCUGUUGGUAGAGAAGAACGUUGGUGAGAGUGGAAAGCUCAUCAAGUGACGGUAACUACCCAGAAAGGGACGGCUAACUACGUG
rnacentral:rRNA from 1 species